rnacentral:rRNA from 1 species
UACGUAGGUGGCAAGCGUUGUCCGGAAUUAUUGGGCGUAAAGCGCGCGCAGGUGGUUUCUUAAGUCUGAUGUGAAAGCCCACGGCUCAACCGUGGAGGGUCAUUGGAAACUGGGGAACUUGAGUGCAGAAGAGGAAAGUGGGAUUCCAAGUGUAGCGGUGAAAUGCGUAGAGAUUUGGAGGAACACCAGUGGCGAAGGCGACUUUCUGGUCUGUAACUGACACUGAGGCGCGAAAGCGUGGGGAGCGAACAGG